rnacentral:rRNA from 1 species
AGUGAACGCUGGCGGCAGGGUUAACACAUGCAAGUCGAACGAUGAAACUCUAGCUUGCUAGAGAAGAUUAGUGGCGGACGGGUGAGUAACAUUUAGGAAUCUGCCUAGUAGUGGGGGAUAGCUCGGGGAAACUCGAAUUAAUACCGCAUACGACCUACGGGUGAAAGGGGGCGCAAGCUCUUGCUAUUAGAUGAGCCUAAAUCAGAUUAGCUAGUUGGUGGGGUAAAGGCCUACCAAGGCGACGAUCUGUAACCGGUCUGAGAGGAUGAUCAGUCACACCGGAACUGAGACACGGUCCGGACUCCUACGGGAGGCAGCAGUGGGGAAUAUUGGACAAUGGGGGCAACCCUGAUCCAGCCAUGCCGCGUGUGUGAAGAAGGCCUUUUGGUUGUAAAGCACUUUAAGCAGGGAGGAGAGGCUAAUGGUUAAUACCCAUUAGAUUAGACGUUACCUGCAGAAUAAGCACCGGCUAACUCUGUGCCAGCAGCCGCGGUAAUACAGAGGGUGCGAGCGUUAAUCGGAAUUACUGGGCGUAAAGCGAGUGUAGGUGGCUCAUUAAGUCACAUGUGAAAUCCCCGGGCUUAACCUGGGAACUGCAUGUGAUACUGGUGGUGCUAGAAUAUGUGAGAGGGAAGUAGAAUUCCAGGUGUAGCGGUGAAAUGCGUAGAGAUCUGGAGGAAUACCGAUGGCGAAGGCAGCUUCCUGGCAUAAUAUUGACACUGAGAUUCGAAAGCGUGGGUAGCAAACAGGAUUAGAUACCCUGGUAGUCCACGCCGUAAACGAUGUCUACUAGCCGUUGGGGUCCUUGAGACUUUAGUGGCGCAGUUAACGCGAUAAGUAGACCGCCUGGGGAGUACGGCCGCAAGGUUAAAACUCAAAUGAAUUGACGGGGGCCCGCACAAGCGGUGGAGCAUGUGGUUUAAUUCGAUGCAACGCGAAGAACCUUACCUGGUCUUGACAUAGUGAGAAUCCUGCAGAGAUGCGGGAGUGCCUUCGGGAAUUCACAUACAGGUGCUGCAUGGCUGUCGUCAGCUCGUGUCGUGAGAUGUUGGGUUAAGUCCCGCAACGAGCGCAACCCUUUUCCUUAUUUGCCAGCGGGUUAAGCCGGGAACUUUAAGGAUACUGCCAGUGACAAACUGGAGGAAGGCGGGGACGACGUCAAGUCAUCAUGGCCCUUACGACCAGGGCUACACACGUGCUACAAUGGUAGGUACAGAGGGUUGCUACACAGCGAUGUGAUGCUAAUCUCAAAAAGCCUAUCGUAGUCCGGAUUGGAGUCUGCAACUCGACUCCAUGAAGUCGGAAUCGCUAGUAAUCGCAGAUCAGAAUGCUGCGGUGAAUACGUUCCCGGGCCU